rnacentral:lncRNA from 1 species
CUCACAGGUGUGGGAAGUUUUAUGUCCCUUGGACAUAGUGGUUUUUCAACAGUAAUUGCAGAAGAAAUCCUGAUGCCUCAUCUAGAGCUGAUAGCUAAAGGAAAUCUGUUGUAUAUCAUCAUCAUACGUUUCAUCUUCCUGUAA